rnacentral:rRNA from 1 species
UACAGAGGUCCCAAGCGUUGUUCGGAUUCAUUGGGCGUAAAGGGUGCGUAGGUGGCGCCGUAAGUCAGGUGUGAAAUUUCGGAGCUUAACUCCGAAACUGCAUUUGAUACUGCGGUGCUUGAGGACUGGAGAGGAGACUGGAAUUUACGGUGUAGCAGUGAAAUGCGUAGAGAUCGUAAGGAAGACCAGUGGCGAAGGCGGGUCUCGUGGACAGUUCCUGACACUGAGGCACGAAGGCCAGGGGAGCAAACGGG